rnacentral:hammerhead_ribozyme from 1 species
AUCCAGAUGAUGAGUCCCAAAUAGGACGAAAUGCGCGUCCUAGAU